rnacentral:misc_RNA from 1 species
GUGACCUUGAUCCUGUUCUUGUUGAUCUUGCCAAUUCCCUUUCGUAUACAUCAAAUCUCGAACGAAUUGAUAUCUCUAAUCAAAAGAAAUUACCGUUUAUGGGUUUGAAGGAGUUAGGGAGGAAAUUAAAGGGUUUGAGGGUUUUGACAUGUAGCAAUCUAACUCUUUUGCGUGAUUCUGAUUUGUAUGUUAUUGCUGAGUUGUUUCCGUUUUUGGAAGAGUUGGACAUUAGCUAUCCGAGUACGGAUUAUGUUUUGGAUUCUGUGUAUAUUGCUUCAGAGGCUAGUAAUUUGGCUGUGACUGAUUCUGGGGUUGAGGUUUUG